UGCCGUGGCUAGACCGAACGCGUCCGAUCCCGUUUGAUCUCAGAAGCUAAGCAGGAUCGGGCCUGGUUAGUGCUUGGAUGGGAGACAACCUAGGAAUAUGAGGUGCUGUAGGUG
rnacentral:rRNA from 1 species